CCGGACCCAAUGCGGUGCCUUUCGCCCUCCUGCCUCCUAUGGACACUCCUCCCAUUUCCUUUCUCUGCUGCCCUUCUUCCCUUCCCCAUCACCCAAUCUGUACCUAUAGACACUCCUCACUCCCAUUUCCUCUUUCCUGCUCCUUUUCUUCCUUCCCCAUCACCCCAAUUUGUACCUAUAGACUCCUCACUCCCAUUUCCUAUUUCUGCUGCUUCUCUUCCUUCCUCAUCACCCCAAUUUGUACCUAUAGACUCCGCGCUCCUAUUUUCUACCUCUCCUGCUCCCUUUCUUCCCUUCCCCAUCACCCAAUCUGUACCUAUGGACUCUCCUCAGUUCUAUUUCCUCUUUCCUGCUGCUUUUCUUCCUUCCUCAUCACCCCAAUCUGUGCCUAUAGACACUCCUCGCUCCCAUUUCCUCUUUCUGCUUCUCACCUUCCCUUCCCCAUCACCCAAUCUGUACCUAUAGACUCCUCACUCCUAUUUCCUCUUUCCUGCUCCUUUUCAUCCUUCCCCAUCACCCAAUCUGUACCUAUGGACACUCCUCGCUCCCAUUUCCUCUUUCCUGCUCCUUUUCUUCCCUUCCCCAUCACCCCAAUCUGUACCUAUAGACUCCUCGAUCCUAUUUCCUCUUUCCUGCUGCCCUUCUUCCCUUCCCCAUCACCCAAUCUGUACCUAUGGACACUCCUCAGUUCUAUUUCCUCUUUCCUGCUGCUUUUCUUCCUUCCCCAUCACCCAAUCUGUACCUAUAGUGACUCCUCGCUCCCAUUUCCUCUUUCCUGCUGCCCUUCUUCCCUUCCCCAUCACCCAAUCUGUACCUAUGGACACUCCUCGCUCCUAUUUCCUUUUUCCUGCUCCUUUUCUUCCUUCCCCAUCACCCCAAUCUGUACCUAUGGACACUCCUCGCUCCCAUUUCCUAUCUUUUCUCCUUCUCAUCUUCCCUUCCCCAUCACCCCAAUCUGUACCUAUAGACUCCUCAAUCCUAUUUCCUAUCUUUCCUGCUUCUUACCUUUCCUUCCCCAUCACCCAAUCUGUGCCUAUGGACACUCCUCGCUCCCAUUUCCUCUUUCUGCUUCUCACCUUCCCUUCCCCAUCACCCAAUCUGUACCUAUGGAGACUCCCCGCUCCUAUUUCCUCUUUCCUGCUCCCUUUCUUCCCUUCCCCAUCACCCAACCCGUAAUGCUGUCCGUCCUCCCCCUCCCCAUCUCCCUCAUUGACAUUCGUACUGAACCGCUCCCACCAACGUCUGAGCCGUUGUUCCUUCAUCUCACUCCGGGUAGACAUUAUCAAAGAGGAGGCAGUAGUGGCGUUGGGGGGCGGUCGCAGAAGGAGAUGAGCAGUUCCCCAUCAGGGAGCCCCGAACCCGGCAGGAACCUGCAGGGGAAUCGAAUGCCCCCGUGGGAAUCCAAUGUUGUUUCUGCGUCAGAACAAGGGAAGAAUUGGGUCCAUUUCGUGGCCUCUGCCGCCGUUUGGGUCCGUUACUACCACUCGUAGCCCUUUUCAGGGGCCGUUCCACU
rnacentral:lncRNA from 7 species